GCCUCCUUAGCUCAGCUGGCCAGAGCAUUCCCCUUGUAAGGGAAGGGUCGUCGGUUCGAAUCCGACAGGGGGCU
rnacentral:tRNA from 3 species